rnacentral:rRNA from 1 species
UGGGGAAUAUUGGGCAAUGGGCGAAAGCCUGACCCAGCAACGCCGCGUGAGUGAUGAAGGCCUUCGGGUUGUAAAACUCUUUGGACAGGGACGAAGAAAGUGACGGUACCUGUAGAACAAGCCACGGCUAACUACGUGCCAGCAGCCGCGGUAAUACGUAGGUGGCGAGCGUUAUCCGGAUUUACUGGGCGUAAAGGGCGUGUAGGCGGCUAGAUAAGUGUGAUGUUUAAAUCCAAGGCUUAACCUUGGGGUUCAUUACAAACUGUUUAGCUUGAGUGCUGGAGAGGAUAGUGGAAUUCCUAGUGUAGCGGUAAAAUGCGUAGAUAUUAGGAGGAACACCGGUGGCGAAGGCGGCUAUCUGGACAGUAACUGACGCUGAGGCUCGAAAGCGUGGGGAGCGAACAGG